AGCCUAGUAGCAUAACGGUUAAUGCACCACUCUGAUAUAUGGUGGUUGUUGUUAGCAUAUUCUUGUGGAGUCCCUCAUUCGACUCGAGGCUAGGCCG